rnacentral:misc_RNA from 1 species
GACUAUAAUUUAUAUAUUGAACCUACAAUGUUAAGCCACAGAGUUGAGAGGUGCAUUAUUGUGUCAUUAGGUUUAUUUGUACCAAGGGUCAAUGGAAUAUUUUUCUUCUAGGGACCUGCGCGUAUAUUUCGUCUUUGGUUAAACCAAUUGCAGUUGUCAAUAUACACUACUAAUCCUACUACUUACCACCUCCAACACAGCUGCUGUUCUGGCAAAAAAUUUAAUAAAUAAAAACAUUCCAUUCAGUUCUCACCACUAUGAUUG